rnacentral:rRNA from 1 species
CAGCCGCCGCGGUAAUACGAAGGGUGCAAGCGUUAAUCGGAAUUACUGGGCGUAAAGCGUGCGUAGGCGGUUUGUUAAGUCUGCUGUGAAAUCCCCGGGCUCAACCUGGGAAUGGCAGUGGAUACUGGCAAGCUAGAGUGUGUCAGAGGAUGGUGGAAUUCCCGGUGUAGCGGUGAAAUGCGUAGAGAUCGGGAGGAACAUCAGUGGCGAAGGCGGGUCUCUGGGUAGUAACUGACGCUGAGGAGCGAAAGCGUGGGUAGCGAACAGGAUUAGAUACCCGUGUAGUCCCUGUCUCUUAUAC